GCCGGGCGCGGUGGCGCGUGCCUGUAGUGCCAGCUACUCAGGAGGCUGAGGCUGGAGGAUCACUUGAGCCCAGGAGUUCUGGGCUGUAGUGCGCUAUGCCGAUCAGGUGUCUGCACUAAGUCCGGCAUCAAUAUGGUGACCUCCCGGGAGUGGGGGACCACCAGGUUGCCUAAGGAGGGUGAACCAGCCCAGGUUGGAAAUGGAGCAGGUCAAAACUCCAGUGCUGAUCAGUGGUGGGAUCGCACCUGUGAAUAGCCACUGCACUCCAGCCUGGGCAACAUAGACCCGUCUCUU
ensembl:misc_RNA Metazoa_SRP Metazoan signal recognition particle RNA